UGGGGAAUAUUGGACAAUGGGCGAAAGCCUGAUCCAGCCAUGCCGCGUGUGUGAAGAAGGUCUUCGGAUUGUAACGCACUUUAAGUUGGGAGGAAGGGCAGUAAGCGAAUACCUUGCUGUUUUGACGUUACCGACAGAAUAAGCACCGGCUAACUCUGUGCCAUCAGCCGCGGUAAUACUGAGUGUGCAAGCGUUAAUCGGAAUUACUGGGCGUAAAGCGCGCGUAGGUGGUUCGUUAAGUUGAAUGUGAAAGCCCCGGGCUCAACCUGCGAACUGCAUCCAAUCCUGGCUAGCUAGAGUAGGGCAGAUGGUGGUGGAAUUUCCUGUGUAGCGGUCAUAUGCGCAGAUAUAGGAAGGAACACCAGUGGCGAAGGCGACCACCUGGGCUCAUACUGACACUGAGGUGCGAAAGCGUGGUGAGCAAACAGG
rnacentral:rRNA from 1 species